CCCGGCACCGCCUCCGCCGCGGCGUGAGGGGCUGGAACGGCCCGCCCUCCGCGCCGGGGCUCGGGGUGCUGGGGCUGCUAGGUUCGGCGUCCUAGGUUCGGCUCCUGGAAGGGAAAGGUGGCCCUUGGUUUGCUCAGGGGCUGUGAGCGUUUCUGUCCGCUGAUCUCUGCGGCAUACUCGCUGCUGCCGCGAUGUCCCCGUAAAGGACUCCCUUGCGCUAGGAAAAAGCCGUAGGUUUAGUUCAACCUAGAGAUAAUCUCGGUGUGCCUUGGCUGGGGAAAGUGGCUGGGGAUCCAGACAACGAGCUGUGAAUGGGCAAGGGCGCUUUGGGGAGCGGCAGCACCAGCCAGGGGGUGGCCUGUCACCGCAAGGCUCCGAGGGACCGGUUGAACACUGAGGAGAGCCCAGACCAAAACUGGACUUCACACCGCUGGACCAAGAGCUGUGAGAAAUGCGGGUGCACAGACUGAGAGGGAAUAAAACUCCAGUGAUCUCUUUUGGGAGGGUCCUUCCCCAGAGGCCCCCAGGUGCUCCUCGAUUAAAUCACUCUCAGGUUAACAGCGCGUCUGGCAUUGCUGUUAUUCCAAGAGCAGGCAGUGACCCUGUGCCAGGAGCAUUGGCCGGCUGUAACCUGUAGUAGUAGUUCGGCAGAACAAUGGCCAUCGUAAGGCACUUCGUGAUCUACACAAAUUAACUUUCCUGCGGCAGUGUCUGGAAAAUGGAUUCCCAGAUCACAUGGAUUAUUGUUGUGUUUGGAGCAGCAGUGCACGGAUGAGGAGCCAGCAGAGGGAAGCCGAACCGGCGGUGACACUGGCGGAGCCUCAAAGCAGGAACCCUGGCGCUCUGCCUGCAUCGGCACCGCCCUGCUGAUCGCGGGGCUCAGCUCCAAAGCAGGAAUGCCGCCGCUCUUUCUGCCUCGGCACCGUCCUGUCCCUUAAAUACUCCUUCAACACCAUCUCACUUUUCUCCUGUGGGGCUACUCCGCGUUUAUCAAACACCCGUGGAGUCUAAGCGAUUUGGUUUUAUAGGGAAGUGAGAUGCCAAGGCUGAGGGAGGGUAGCAAGAAAUGUGGUCAGCUGUAAUAUAUGUACUGGACAUGACCCAAGCUGGGAGGGCAUGCAGGUGCUUUUGAAAGAACUGUUCUGGCCAGGUGAAAGGGAAAACGUAAUAAUAGCAAAGCAGAACUGGCACUGCAAAAAGAAGGAAACAGGAGCCCCUGGCCAGUGAAUGACCCAAACUGGAAUGAUAAUACCGCAGAGGAUAGGCCUGCAUAUCAGACAAGAACCUGGUUGAAGCAAUAUGAUCAUGGAGAAUGAAAGGUUAACUGGACCAAAAUAAUGGUAUGCAGACAGAGAAUGGACGACAAUCCUAGAGAUUUUUGGGGCUGCUUCCAACAGGUUUUGCUAGAAUAUGGGGCAAUGGCUUCACGAAACUUUAAUGGUACACAUGCAAUUAGUGUCUUUGUAGGUCAGGCAGCACCAGACAGCCAAAAGUAAUUUAAGGAGCAUAUGCCAGGGUGGCAGGGAGUAACACUACAGAAAAUUCACAUGUUGCAGUAUUCAUGUGUGAUGGGAGAAAGAAAAAACAGAGGGCAAAGCAAGUAGAGGAGAAAAGGGAAAUUGGAGAAAGUGGAAAAUCUAAUGGCUGUUGCCAUGACAGGAAAUCUCCAGGGGAGAAAAUGGAAGAGAGGAAGACCAAAUACAAUUAGUAGACCUAAACCAGAAAGCAGAAAGACAGAAAAGGAAUGUGGAAAUGAAGCAUUACUAUUGUAGCAAUUUAGAACAUAGGCAAAGAGAAUGGCCUUUCCAACCAAGUGGGGGAGUAAUUAUGCAAGGAUAGAUUGUCACAAUGACUAGAGGCCAGCAAUUCUACUGAAUUUGAGGGAGCCAUACAAUUAGAAAUAUAAAAUUUGUGGAGAACACCCAGAACAACAGGGACAUAUAGUAAUAGUAUGUGGGGAUUGGGUGUCAUUGUUAAAUUUCUUAUAGAUACAGGAGCCACAUUAUCCCUCUUAAACUUUGCCCCAAGAGGGUCAGACAAAGUUUAACAGACAAAGUAUGCAUACAUGGAGCCACUGGGCAGGGAAAAAUUUAAGUAAACCUGUGUUAGCAAUGAUAGGACGUAAGGUUGUAUUAGUAGAAGAUUCCUCUGUGUGCUUGCUGACCUUCUACAGGCCUUAGAUGCAGAAUUGCAUGUGUCACCAGAGGGAAUGGAUUCAAUAGUGGCACUGGGUGUGAUUACUGAGAGUUUCAAAAAUGAGCAGAAGAUACUAGAAAUAUUGAAAGCUGUAUUAUCAGGAUUCUGGAGUAAGAUCCCUACAGGUGGGGAACCAGCCAUGUGCAUUAAAACUAAGGCAGACAUGCCACCCUCUGUGAGACAGUAUCCUAUUCCUCUGGAAGCUGGGAAAAGUAUCCAAAACCAGACAGACCAAUACUUGGACAAAGGAAUUUUAAAGCAUGUGUGUCUGCAUAUAACAUUCCUAUAUUGCCUGUAAACCAGAAUAGGUUAGAUGGAGACCCUGAGUACUUGUGCAGGAUUUGUGGUGAUUAACCAACAUGCAGUGACCCCUCACCCAGUGAUGCCAGGCCCCUUGACUAUGCUUUUGCAAAAAUACCAGUUUAAAAUGGCUAUUUUAUUGUAAAUAAUUUAACAGCUGUUUUUUUCAGCAUCCCAAUAGACGAAGGAAGUCAACCUUUGUUUGCCUUCAAACUGUACUGUUAACACAGUAUAUUUUGUAGAUGCAAAAGAGCAUGUAAGAGCAGAAAAGAAAAUUGUGCUGCUCAAUUGUAUCAGCACAUGCCAUCUGAAGUACAGGUACAUAAUAUAUAGCCUGGAGAUGAAGUUUUAAUUAAGGUAUUCUUUAGAAAAUCCAAGUUAGCACCAAAAUGAGAAGGCCAUAUAGUUUCCUACUAUGUCCUUAUUUUGCUGUUUCAAGUUUUGCUGUUUAAGUUUUAGGUAAGGAAAACUGGAUACACGAUUCUCACAUCAAAUGAAGAGUAAGUGAUCAAUCAGUUGAUAAGUAAAAGAUUUCUCAGAAUCCUUGGUGAUUUUGUAUUUGUAAUCAUUUGAGUAUUUAUGCACAAGAAUUUAUGAAUUUGUAUUCUGCCCUAUGGUAAUCUUGGUAGCUUUAAUUUUGUUGUGUUUGUUACUCUCAAUAAUCCUGUAUGCAAAGGCAGUGCUUAAAUGCCUCGAGAGUUUUUUCUUUUUCCUUUCAGUACAUGAGCAGGAGGACUGUUGAGCAAUACACGCAGUUCAGAUUGCUUGGUGUGUGAUGUGCUCAGUGUGCCCUGCAUGGCUGGAGCCACAAGCAAGGAGCCAUGAAGGAGCACUGACCUUCUGCCUGCAAAGGCCACAGGGACCUGCCACACCAGCCAGGCAGGGAUGGUCAGUCACACAGACACUCUGCAGGACCCACUGAACAACAGGAAGACCCCAGACCCAAACCACCUUUGGAUCAAGAGGUGCUUGAAGCACAAGUGCACAGACUGUGAGGGUAUAAAAACCCAGUCAUCUUUUCAUUGGGGUUUCUUCCCCAGAGGCAACUUCCCCUAAGUUGCUGCAUCACAAUUAAAUUACUUAAAAGGUACAGGACUUCUGGGCCUCUGCUAUGGGAAACCUGGGGUCAAGCUGAUGUGGAGAGCUUAGGUCUGAGUGUGGAGUCAAACAUGUUACAUCACUGGAUUUACUUGCUGCAAAGGGGCUCCUGUCCCAGCAUUAAAAUUUGGAGUAGUGCAAGUGGGACUCCCAGAUUGCCAUCAGAAUGGUCAGAUGGGAGAGUUUCUUUAACAUAUAUCCUUCUACAUUUCCAGGUUUUUUUUCAGAAUGUUAGAAAUUACAGCAAAGUUUAAAAAAAAAAUCCUAAUUUUACCAUACAAGACACUAUAAUUAGAUGUUCAGACAUAUGACACACUCUGCCUGCCUUCCAAGCAGGCUGAGCUCUACUGUGUUUUAGGAGACUACAGCCUUUAGUCUUUCAGAAAAAAAAGGUAGCUGAGGUUCCUUCCCUCUAGCAGAACUAUCCCCAGUCUAAUGGUAGUCACUACAGGGAUCCAGUGAAGUCUCUGCAGUGACCACUGGUUUUAGCCCAGGCUUCUGUUAUGUCUUUAGGAGUAACACAAAAGAGUAUAGAAUAAAUACCAACAACCAAAUAAAUAUCUCAAGUCACCAAAUGGACAGUGCUGAGUUGAUUAAAGCUAGUCUCAUUUGAACAACACUUAAUAUAACUGAAUUCAAAUUGACACAGGAGUGGAGAUUUUAGUGCACACUAAGUAUGAGGGAUGUUGAGAUGUUUGAGAACAGCAGUACCACGAAUGCUGGGCAGGUCACGCUGCACAGCCAGCUAAUGAUGAGUUUCCUCUGCUGCCAUGAAACCUGAAAUAAAUGAAAGCUAUUAAGAAGAGCACUUCCAUCGCUAGCAGCAGGCCACAGGCUCAAUGCCCCAGUUCUGGCCUGCAGUGCUUGUUAUCAGCCUGUGGUGAGAGCCUGUCCUGGGAACUGGAGCUUUGUGCCAAGACGGCUGUUAUGAUCUGCAGUUUCAUGUGGGAUAACAGCAAAGGCCUUGGAAAUACUGAAAACAGAGGAGCCAGCAUUAUAAACUAACUGAUACCAAAUUACUGCUUGAAGAAAAACCACAUCACAAGUCAGUAAUGCUUUGAGCCCAUCAAAGGAAGCAGCAGCUGAGCUAGAGAGGAUCAGCCAAGCAGCAGCAGGAGGCAUUUGCUGAGGCCUGAGAAAAUGACACUCUCCGGUAUCGCCAAGUGACCUGCAUGUUUUCCUGACAGUCUUAAGAUUGAUCAGUUGAUAAGGAUAAGAAAAUCAUGGCUCUAAUCAAAAAUCAUGGUUUUAACCUUUCCCAGAAGGAUAUUGGGCUUUGUAUCAAGAAGCUGUAAUACUCUUCUGCAGCUCACAAUAACUACUGGUAUGGACUGAGCCGGAUAUUGUUUGGUUUCAUGGCCAAGACUCAGAGAAGCUUCUGGCUAAAAACCCUGCAGGUGGGAAGGAGUGAGUUGGAGGAACAAUCACUUUCUGCAACAUUAGGUGCUGUGAGCCUCCCAAGUGAUCCCUGAAUAACACAAUGUUCCUUGUCUGUGUGUCGCCAGUGGGAGGGUGACUUAUCACACAACUGCAACGGGAUGAGCAGUGUUGAUGGGACUAAAG